rnacentral:lncRNA from 1 species
AAACACUGUCUUUUUCUCAAAACACAAAUGCCCAAUAAGGUUAAUUAUGUGUUGAUUUUGUUUUAUAUGUUAACAUCAGCAAGGAUCUCUACUGCAAGUCCUCACACUUACACCUCUGAACAGACCUCAGCUCCUGGCAGCACCAGUGAAUCCUCUGUCACUGUCACAAGGACCUGGCCAUUGGUUUCUGCCUCAGAAGCUCCUCAGACUAACUCAUCUGUAUCACUUGCCAGUCAGCAGGACCCUGAACGUGGGCUGUACAUUGGGAUUGGCUCGUGUGCAGCUCUUCUGCUCAUCCUGAUUUUGGCCCUGCUCCUCACUAAACGUGAGUACUCAUAAGCACU